CCCUUAGAUGUUCUGGGCCGCACGCGCGCUACACUGAUGCAUUCAACGAGCCUAGCCUUGACCGAGAGGUCCGGGUAAUCUUUGAAACUGCAUCGUGAUGGGGCUAGAUUAUUGCAAUUAUUAAUCUUCAACGAGGAAUGCCUAGUAAGCGUGAUUCAUCAAAUCGCGUUGAUUACGUCCCUGCCCUUUGUACACACCGUCCGUCGCUCCUACCGAUUGAGUGUGUUGGUGAGGAGUUUGGAUUGGCCUCGGAAGGUGGUUCGCCACCGUCCGUAGCUGAGAAGUUCUCCAAACCGCCCCACUUAGAGGAAGGAGAAGUCGUAACA
rnacentral:rRNA from 1 species